rnacentral:lncRNA from 1 species
AUGCUGCUAAGUAAGAUGAUUGGAGCAGCCAUAUUUAAUUUUCAGACACCUUGGAUGAGCACAGCAACUCAGUGGACAUCACGUGAGGUUAAAAUCAAGUCAAUUAAUCACAAUCUUCAGCUGGUUACAGAGACGGGGAGUUUCUGCUUGCCAGAACACCUGCGCUCCUCAAAUGGCCUUGGUGCUUAAUUGUUUCCAGGUGCAGCACAUGCUUGUUUGGGGCUAACUCAGAACUGUGAAUUUCUGCUGCCAGAGGACACACUUUGGAAGUUGGAGUUAACUGGUAAGAGAGUUAACCCUCAGUUAGAAGCGUACAUGCUGCUGAUCUUUAAAAUGGAAAAUUGCAGAAUAUUCUUUAAUGUUCACUUAAGAAGCAGCUUUUUCUUCUUUAACAGAUCCUAGCCUUACAAACCUCAGUGAUACAUUUAUUUGUCUUGGUGAUAAUUUUGUGAAUUGACUCUAUAAAUCUUUAUUGAACACCCUCUAAGUUUCAGGUACUUGAAAUAUAGCUGUGAGCAAAACAAAGAUCCUUCAUGGAGAUUUUCUCCUACUGAGAGACAUUUCUGUAUUUUUCCUUCCUUCCUUCCUUCCUUCCUCUUUCUUCUCUUUCUUUUUUCCCUACUUUGGUUUGUCCUUAAGUAGGGCAAACAUCUCUUUCAGAGUCUAGUAUCUAGUAAAUGAUCACACCUAGCUUUAUGCCAGCUUUGGAGCUUGGAAGUGAGUAGAUAGUUCAGUCUUGCUCUGCACAUUAACUUAGCUCCAGGUCAGGGUACCAGAGAUUAAGAAACCCUAGUUUUGAACCUGGUCUCCUUUAUAUUUUCUUAUCUAGUUUUACCAGAACUAAUGCUCAUACUCUGUUUUAAUAGCCAUCUUAUAUUUAUUUCCCAAUUCAUUAGGAUUUUGGAAGGAAAAUGGAUCAUCAUUAACUAAUGUAGCCCGUUCCCAUUGUGCUCCACUUUCUUCUGGAAAAUAUUAGGCAAAUUAUAUUUAUAUUUCAGAGGGUCAGGGUUUAUACCCUUCUCCAGUGAAGAAUGUGUGGUUCCUACGUCAAAGCAACAUGUCACCAACAGAACCUUUGGAGAAAUUUUGAGUUCAAUGUCCUUUGUUUCAAUUUUGUCAUGCAGUGGGUUUUGCUAGGAUAUAUCCUCUGAGGGUAGGUACAACGAGGAAAAGGAACUGAGAUCUAGGC